rnacentral:rRNA from 1 species
UAUGUGAUCGUCUCUCGCAUAUCAAUAAGCGGAGGAAAAGAAACUAACAAGGAUUCCCCUAGUAACGGCGAGUGCAGCGGGAAGAGCUCAAAUUUGAAAUCUUAAAGGGUUUCCCUUUACGAAUUGUAGUUUAAAGAAGUGUUUUCUGUUGAGGUUUUGGUAAAAGUUCUUUGGAAUAGGACAUCAUAGAGGGUGAGAAUCCCGUAUUUGACCUUUACUUUCAACUUUGUGAUACACUUUCAAAGAGUCGGAUUGUUUGGGAAUGCAGUCCAAAAUGGGUGGUAAAUUUCAUCUAAAGCUAAAUAUUGGCGAGAGACCGAUAGCGAACAAGUACCGUGAGGGAAAGAUGAAAAGAACUUUGAAAAGAGAGUUAAACAGUACGUGAAAUUGUCAAAAGGGAAGCGUUUGACACCAGUGUUGUUUUUCUGAAAAUCAAUUAAAGAACUGUUUAUGCUAAGUUGUUUAGACUUUAUCAGCUAAUCUGCUUAGUUUUGAGCUUUUCUUUAAUGCACUUUUCAGUUAACAAGUCAACAUCAAUUUCUUUUGCUGUAAAAAAGCUUGAGGAAGGUGGCUUGAGAUUCGUCUUAAGUGUUUAUAGCCUCUUGCCUAUGCAGUCGGAGAGAUUGAGGUCUGCAGCGUAGAUCCUUCGGGGCUAAAUGCAUUUGUGCUAAGUUAUAGCAUUUUAUAGACAACUUGUUGACUAUGAUUUGUCUUGUAGCUUACUCGCUUAUGUUAUUUUACCUACGCUUAGGAUGUUGAUCUGUAGUGCGUGCGC